rnacentral:rRNA from 1 species
GUGAACGCUGGCGGUAGGCCUAACACAUGCAAGUCGAACGGCAGCACCGUAAGAGCUUGCUCUUACGGGUGGCGAGUGGCGGACGGGUGAGGAAUACAUCGGAAUCUACUUUUUCGUGGGGGGUAACGUAGGGAAACUUACGCUAAUACCGCAUACGACCUACGGGUGAAAGCAGGGGAUCUUCGGACCUUGCGCGAUUGAAUGAGCCGAUGUCGGAUUAGCUAGUUGGCGGGGUAAAGGCCCACCAAGGCGACGAUCCGUAGCUGGUCUGAGAGGAUGAUCAGCCACACUGGAACUGAGACACGGUCCAGACUCCUACGGGAGGCAGCAGUGGGGAAUAUUGGACAAUGGGCGCAAGCCUGAUCCAGCCAUACCGCGUGGGUGAGGAAGGCCUUCGGGUUGUAAAGCCCUUUUGUUGGGAAAGAAAAGCAGCAGGUUAAUACCCCGCUGUUCUGACGGUACCCAAAGAAUAAGCACCGGCUAACUUCGUG